AGGAGGAACAACCCCAGUGGCUGCCUCAGCUCUGGAAACCUGGAUUCAGCCCCUGCAGUAACUCCAGAGCUCUCAGCCUGCAGGGCCUGGAGGCUCCAGGCAGCG
rfam:Canis lupus familiaris chromosome 23, whole genome shotgun sequence.